rnacentral:rRNA from 1 species
UAGACUUGACAUCUCCUGCAUUACUCUUAAUCGAGGAAGUCCCUUCGGGGACAGGAUGACAGGUGGUGCAUGGUUGUCGUCAGCUCGUGUCGUGAGAUGUUGGGUUAAGUCCCGCAACGAGCGCAACCCUUAUUGUUAGUUGCCAUCAUUAAGUUGGGCACUCUAGCGAGACUGCCCGGGUUAACCGGGAGGAAGGUGGGGAUGACGUCAAAUCAUCAUGCCCCUUAUGUCUAGGGCUACACACGUGCUACAAUGGUCGGUACAAUAAGACGCAAGCCCGCGAGGGGGAGCAAAACUGGAAAACCGAUCUCAGUUCGGAUUGUAGGCUGAAACUCGCCUACAUGAAGCUGGAGUUGCUAGUAAUCGCGAAUCAGCAUGUCGCGGUGAAUACGUUCCCGGGCC